rnacentral:rRNA from 1 species
AAUAGAUACCCCGGUAGUCCACGCCGUAAACGAUGAGUGCUAGGUGUUGGGGGGUACCACCCUCAGUGCCGAAGCUAACGCAUUAAGCACUCCGCCUGGGGAGUACGGUCGCAAGACUGAAACUCAAAGGAAUUGACGGGGGCCCGCACAAGCAGUGGAGCAUGUGGUUUAAUUCGAAGCAACGCGAAGAACCUUACCAGGACUUGACAUCCCGCUGACCGGUCUGGAGACAGACCUUCCCUUCGGGGCAGCGGUGACAGGUGGUGCAUGGUUGUCGUCAGCUCGUGUCGUGAGAUGUUGGGUUAAGUCCCGCAACGAGCGCAACCCUUGGAUUGUGUUGCCAUCAUUCAGUUGGGCACUUACAAUCGACUGCCGGUGACAAACCGGAGGAAGGCGGGGAUGACGUCAAAUCAUCAUGCCCCUAAUGUCCUGGGCUACACACGUGCUACAAUGGGCGGUACAAAGGGUUGCGAAGCCGCGAGGCGGAGCCAAUCCCAGAAAGCCGUUCGUAGUUCGGAUUGCAGG